rnacentral:lncRNA from 1 species
UCUUGAUGAAAUGAGGUACUAUUACAAAUAUAGAGUCAUAAGAAAUUGAGACUAGAAGAUCCUUGAUAAAAUCCAUAAAAAAAAAGAUUAUGAUUGUUUUAGAAUGGAUAAUAGUUUGAAAAAUUCAUAGAAUCAAUGAUGAGGAGUUUUUGACUUUGAACAAAUGUCACAUAAUUGGACAAAAUAUUUCACUACCUUCUACAUUUGUAGCGACUAAAAAUCUCUAGAUAUAAGUUUUAAAGUCUUGUUGUAUCCAAAAUGUCUGACUAUUAGAAAGUCA